AUAGCGUAUAUUAAAGUUGUUGCAGUUAAAAAGCUCGUAGUUGGAUCUCAGUUCGAGUCAAGCGGUCCACUUGUAGUGGUUACUGUUUGACUGAACACUUUACCGAGUUGUCCUAUGGUGCUCUUCACCGAGUGUCAUAGGCGAUCGGUACGUUUACUUUGAAAAAAUUAGAGUGCUCAAAGCAGGCGUAACGCCCGAAUAAUGUUGCAUGGAAUAAUGGAAUAGGACCUCGGUUCUAUUUUGUUGGUCUUCGGAAUCUGAGGUAAUGAUUAAGAGGGACAGACGGGGGCAUUCGUAUUGCGACGCUAGAGGUGAAAUUCUUGGACCGUUGCAAGACGAA
rnacentral:rRNA from 1 species